UCAUCAAGAGUCACCAUGAUCAGAGUUCUAGUCUUUUUUCAGUCACUCUACUGGAUUCAAGGAGUUGCAGGAACGAAGGAUGUCUUUCAGCCCAGUAUACUCUGGGCUAAAAUGGGUCAAUCAGCCACAAUAAACUGCUCACACAGCAAAGAUGCAAAUCAUAAUCAGAUGUACUGGUAUCGUCAGUAUCAUGGAGAGAGUAUGGAGCUCAUAGUGUUUACUACCAGCUUUGGCACUCAAGACUUUGGAAAAUUCAGCCAAAGUAAAUUCUCAGCUAUUAAAACAGUUCCUGAGAGCGGCUCAUUCACAGUAAAAGACGUGGAUUAUAGUGACAGCGCUGUGUAUUUCUGUGCCGUGAGAGAACACAGUGCUAUAACCACAGGGCAGAGCUGUACAAAAACACACCGUGUGUCUCUGGAGACACCUAAUGGGUGCUGA